rnacentral:snoRNA from 1 species
AGGCUCUAGUUUCCUUUCCCACUAGAUUUAAAUACUGGUCUGUACGGUUUUAGAAGGAUGAGAAGAAACAUUGCAACUGACUUAAAAGCUUUUGUAGCACAUGGGAUCAUUUCCAACAGGU